ACACGACUCUGGACAAUGGAUAUCUCAACUCUCGCAUCGAUGAAGAGCGCAGUGAAAAUGCGAUACGUGGUGUGAAUUGUAGAAUCCCGCGAACCAUCGAGUCUUUGAAUGAAUGUUGCACCCAAGGCCAAUCGGUCGAGGGCACGUCCGCCUGGGCGUCAAC
rnacentral:rRNA from 1 species